GGAUUGGUGGUUCAGUGGUAGAAUUCUCGCCUGCCACGCGGGAGGCCUGGGUUCGAUUCCCAGCCAAUGCA
rnacentral:tRNA from 1 species